GCUUAACCGGAGAAGUGCAUCGGAAACUGGAUAACUUGAGUGCAGAAGAGGGUAGUGGAACUCCAUGUGUAGCGGUGGAAUGCGUAGAUAUAUGGAAGAACACCAGUGGCGAAGGCGGCUACCUGGUCUGCAACUGACGCUGAGACUCGAAAGCAUGGGUAGCGAACAGGAUUAGAUACCCUGGUAGUCCAUGCCGUAGACGAUGAGUGCUAGGUGUUGGAGGGUUUCCGCCCUUCAGUGCCGGAGCUAACGCAUUAAGCACUCCGCCUGGGGAGUACGACCGCAAGGUUGAAACUCAAAGGAAUUGACGGGGGCCCGCACAAGCGGUGGAGCAUGUGGUUUAAUUCGAAGCUACGCGAAGAACCUUACCAGGUCUUGACAUCUUGCGCCAACCCUAGAGAUAGGGCGUUUCCUUCGGGAACGCAAUGACAGGUGGUGCAUGGUCGUCGUCAGCUCGUGUCGUGAGAUGUUGGGUUAAGUCCCGCAACGAGCGCAACCCUUGUUGCUAGUUGCCAGCAUUAAGUUGGGCACUCUAGUGAGACUGCCGGUGACAAACCGGAGGAAGGUGGGGACGACGUCAGAUCAUCAUGCCCCUUAUGACCUGGGCUACACACGUGCUACAAUGGACGGUACAACG
rnacentral:rRNA from 1 species